CCUUGGCCGUGCUGGACGUGGUUCAGUAGAGCACUGUGGUUGCGUCAAAGCUGCCGUGGCCUGCAAAGCUGAAAAUAUCUACUUUCUGGCUCUUUACAGAAAAAAUUUCCCAGUCCAUGAUCCAAAUCACCAGGCUGAAUAAUCAUUACAUCUGUGGGCCUUUUAAUUCUGUGUCUUUAGCCCUGUGAGGUCAAACCAAACUUUGUAGAAACUGCUAGAAUGUACCUGGUGAUGGUAGUUGGUAAUUGUUGAGUGAAACUAUGUUCCCAACACUCUGUGAAGCACUUUACAUGAGCUGUAUUAUCCUUAAUGCUCGCAAUAGCCCUAUUCAGUGAGUGCUAUUUUCACUUCAGCUUAUAGGUGAGGAAACAGACACAGAGAAGUUAAGUAACUUACUUGAUGUCACCCAGCAAGUAAGUGGUGGCAUCAAGGGUCAAAAGCACACAGCCUGGGUGGGAAACACUAUCCUAAACUGCCCUCAUCACUCAACAUUCUGCAGCUCCUCCACCACCACAGACCCGCUGCUUCCAACUGCUUGUCUAUCCCAACUUGCACAAGUAAACAAACAUCUUGCCACAAGAAUUUAGAACUUGCUUUGGAGCCAAAUGUUACAGUUAUCCCUUGCUUAGCAUUCAGGAUUCAAGGCAUGCUUCCAAGUCAUUUCCUCUCAAGCUUCAUUGAGAAGCAUUUGGAUGAGACUCUUGAGCCAAUACCACCCUUCUUUUUCUCUCCGUGUCCUGAGCAUGCAACAUACCUUCAGUGUCUCCCCCACCCACCCCCCCACCCCCCGGGUUGCUGGACAAUCUCCACUUAAAUCCCAGAUGUACUGGGGAUGACAAGUUUAAACUCUCCUGAAAAGUCUGUUUCAGAAAGUUCAAGUUCUCUGAUGUUCGCUCCUAGCAGCUCUGUCCGAUAAACUGUAUGUGCUAAUCUGCA